rnacentral:misc_RNA from 1 species
UUCAAAGCUUCAUCAACCAGAUCUUUGCUACACAGGAUGGGGUCAUUGUGCUCCUGAAGCCUCCGCCUGGCAAAAUCCACAGCAUUUUGGCUCCUAAACACAUCCCAGAGCCCAUCACAACCUAUAAUGAGGAAUUCAUCCUCUGCUGUCAGUUGAAUAGUCAUAAGCUCUGGUUCUGCACUAAGUGGCCCACCAUCUGUGCCUUUCAUUCCUUCCAUAUGCCAGUCUCCUAUAGCGCGAGCCACAUUAAGUAGACCAUUGAGGUAACCAUCA